GGCCAGACUCCUACGGGAGGCAGCAGUGGGGGAUAUUGCACAAUGGGGGGAACCCUGAUGCAGCGACGCCGCGUGGGUGAAGGGGCGUUUCGGCGCGUAAAGCCCUAUCGGCAGGGAAGAAGAUGACGGUACCUGAGUAAGAAGCCCCGGCUAACUACGUGCCAGCAGCCGCGGUAAUACGUAGGGGGCAAGCGUUAUCCGGAUUUACUGGGUGUAAAGGGAGCGUAGACGGCAUGGCAAGUCUGAAGUGAAAGCCCGGGGCUCAACCGCGGGACUGCUUUGGAAACUGUUAAGCUGGAGUGCAGGAGAGGUAAGUGGAAUUCCUAGUGUAGCGGUGAAAUGCGUAGAUAUUAGGAGGAACACCAGUGGCGAAGGCGGCUUACUGGACUGUAACUGACGUUGAGGCUCGAAAGCGUGGGGAGCAAACAGGAUUAGAUACCCCAGUAG
rnacentral:rRNA from 1 species